GCAGCAGAUGUAGCACCGCUACAAGUGCAUCAGGCGUUAUAAUGUCACUGCUAAGUCGAACUGGAGCAGGAAAACGAGCAAACGUGUGCUGGACUCAAAUAAACGACCCCUGAAGCGAUAACCAGUUGCUCACGGAGUAUAUGCUGUUGGCUGGAUAUGUUACUUCUCAACCACUUCGAGUUGUUACAGUGUCAAGCUGCAACUCCCCAGAAAAUGAUCGUAAGCCCCAAUACACUGGACCCCGCCUAAAUCAUACUACAGCAUGAAACCGUGAUAUUUUCGGACUAGGAAGGACCUCAUUUCAUCAUCAUCAUCAUCAUCAUCAUCAUCAACAACAACAACAACAAAAAGCAAAUUCAGACAUACAAACACACACUUAUUCAACAACUACACAUACCAUCAAAAAAAGUGUCAUACAUUUUCAGGGAGAAAAAGAUACUAAGCUGUAUCUUUCCUUAUGGUGGUACCCUCUUGUUUAGUAUAUCCUGUAUAUAUGUUGUAACUAGAAAUAAAGAUAGAAAUGUACUGUUAAAACUUUAGUCCAAAUACAAUUGUGGUCCAAUUAUAUUUUUUAUAUUGUCUAUUAUAUUUAAUUAUAUCUUAUAUAUUUUAAUGGUACACUAUUUACAUGUUUCCACGUCAAUAAUACAUCUUAAAGGUACAAAAGAUAAGCCUACCACCCCGGGACAGGAAAGAUACACUGUCGUAAGCUUUUUUUUCCCUUCUACUUUUGAGAUUAUAGAAGACACGAGGAAUCUUCAGAGUAAAAUACACACUAAACACCAGGUGGCGCUGAAAGAUCAUCAAUAAGAUUUUAUUUUCGGCUGCUGCUGAUUCAGUACUAAAACUGAGCACUCAAGGCAGUUUUCCGUUGUUGAGAAGUAGUUGGAAGUUUGACAUAAUUUGAUACACCAAUGAUUUGGGAUCAAGUCAGUAUGAAAUUGUAGUGGGAAUAAAAUCCAGUUUUUAUUAUUAUCAUUAUUAUCAUUAUUUAUCAUAUACAUAACCAAUCUUUUCUAAAGUUCAGUAUAAAUGGAUUAAGUAAAAAACAAAUGACUCAGAUCCAUUCAUCUCUCCAUCUUCUCUACGGUUCAUCCUACACAGGGUCGUGGGGAGCCUUGCGCCUAUCCUAGGGGAGAGGCUAGGGGACACCCUGGACAGGGUGGCAACCCAUCAAAGGGCACAAUCACACACUUUCACACACUACAGACAAUUUUGACAUGAGAAAAUUUCUGCAUACUAAGUACGGACAAUUUAGAAAUGCCAAUCGGCUUUCAAUGCAUGUUUUUGGACAAUGGGAGGAAACUGGGUGAACCCAGUGGCACAGGUAGAAAAUUUCUGCACACUAAGUAAUAAUUCUAUAUUUCCCAGCCUACCUUAUUCCCCUGCUUCUUAAGAUUUCACACAAAAACCAAUAUUUACUUCACAUGUAAUCCAUUCAUGCAUCAUUUCACCACAGUUAUUGGUGGUUUCGUGAGUCCACUGUAUUUCUUUUGUUUUCCUCACUCCACUUAUUGCAUGUUUAUACUGUCCCAAUUGACCUGAACCAUGCUUGACAAUAUUAAAAAUGAUGAAAUUAUAAACAUAUGUGCA